GUCGACUACCUCGGCCUAAAGGCCGAGGCUUGUGAAAGCCUCUAGUUGACUAGCCUCAGUCCGCUGUUCGGGGACUACGUUGGUCGGGAAUGCACAGGCACCGCGGGAUGCAGAUCCUAGUCCCGCGCUCUGC
rnacentral:sRNA from 1 species